ACUAUACGUUCAGUUAWCAUACCUGUUGUAGUUUUCUCAAUGUUUUAGACUAAUUUUCAAUAAUAUGAUUGCUAUUGUUUAAUAAUGGAUUCAUUUUGCGGCUCUAAAUACUGGGACUUAAACAUAACGUGGUUUACAGAUAAUCCAGAUUUUCCCAUAUGUUUUCAAGARACAGCCCUCACAUGGACUCCCUGUGCCUUAUUCUGGGUCUUAUCGGUGUUUGARUUAUAUAAUACGAUACGAUCAGAUARGCYACCACUUC